rnacentral:rRNA from 1 species
GCUUACGGCCACACCGCCUGCUUCACGCCCGAUCUCGUUUGAUCUCGGAAGCUAAGAUAGGGUGGGCCUGGUUAGUACUUGGAUGGGAGACCGCCUGGGAAUACCAGGUGUUGUAAGAU